CACCGGCGGCUCGAGUGGUGGCCACUUUUAUUGGGUCUAAAGCGUCCGUAGCCGGCUUGGCAAGUCCCCUGGGAAAUCUGGCGGCUUAACCGUCAGGCGUCCAGAGGAUACUGGUCAGCUUGGGACCGGGAGAGGUGAGAGGUACCUCAGGGGUAGGGGUGAAAUCUUGUGAUCCCUGAGGGACCACCAGUGGCGAAGGCGUCUCACUAGAACGGGUCCGACGGUCAGGGACGAAAGCUGGGGGCACGAACCGG
rnacentral:rRNA from 1 species